CUUCCCGUUUGACUGCCACGUCCUCUCCGUAUGGGUUUCGUGGCUAUGCUUACGGGACAGACUAAAGCAGCCGUGAUCUGAGGAGGGAGGGUUGGCCCGUGUCCUCCCUCUGUAUGAAAUGGCUGGACAGUGCAGG